AAAACCUGGUUGUCUUCCAUCUCCGCUCGGUCUCCUCCUCCUACACGUCAGCGCCGCCACUGCAGGGUCGAACCACGCUCGAUUCGCCCCGAUCCCUAACCCCCUCCAUCGAAUCCGUGGGCACAUAUCGACUCCUCUUGAUCCCGUCGACCGAUUCCAGAACUGAGUGCUCGCGACCAGCCUCGAUUUCGAGCUCCUCGAUCUCGCCAGUCUCCGCUUCGCCAUCAAGCUUCGCCCGUCGAUGCCGUCGCCUACAGAGAGCACCAGAUCGAGCACACGCAUCAAGAACUGAAGCUCCAGAACUCCGCCGGAAUUCGUGUGCAUUGCCACCGCCGCCCUACGAAGAGAUCGCCGUCGUCGUCUACAUCAGAGCCACUUCCGUACCAUGCCUCACCCGCGCGUCAUCUCUGCAUCACGGGAGAAUACACCCGAAGCCACCACCGUCUUCCUCUGUUUCUGGUGACCGCGCGUGCAGAGUCACUUUGGCCAAUCACGUGAUGACACGUGGCGAUAUGUUACAGUAGUCGCAUAUCAAAAAUAAUAUUUUGGACAGAUUUUCACCUAUCUUUUUUUGUUUAGCUAUAUCUCCUGAUCUGUUUAGUCAAAUUGAGUGAUUCUUUUUCCUGUGUAAUCGUGUUGAUCAGUAGAACUAUUUAAAUUUGAGCAA